AGCUGGGUUCAGACCACAAAAACGCACAGCGAAAAAAGUGAGAACAUAUCAGCCCCCAACCUAAUUGUUAUUUGGAGAAGAAAGGAACGGGAGAGUGAUGGCGAAGUGGAAGGCCUGAAAUCUGAUCCCAGCAACGCCAAUACAUCCAAGGAGGCACAAGCAAGGGGUAGGAGAGCUCAUGAUCAAGAUCUAUCGACAGGGUCAUAACCUAAAAGAAAAGAACCUCGCCAUCUGAGUUGGGUAAGUCCCCAUUCUAGAAUAUGACCUAGUGUAUGCGACGUGCCAAGUAGAUGUCUGAGUCGGAUAGUUCACGAUUUGGGAUGGAGGAUUGGGAAAGAGAUUGGGAUCCGAGAGACGAGAGUGAAGGGGGGAUGAGGAUGAAGAGGCUGAGCUAGUAAGAGGAGAUGACGGUCUUGUUGAUGAUGAGGUAGAUAUGGAAGAUGAGGUGGUAGCAGGGAGGAUAGGCCAAUAUAGCAUUGAUAAGGUAAAAAAUGAAAUGACCGAAGGUGAGCUUAAGCAUUUGAGGUUGGAGUAUAGGAUCCCAGACAGCAUAAAGCUGAGGUUACUCAGGAAGGAUGAGAAGGCAAGUCAGCCUCCAGAUGGCUCGGUCUUGAUACAUCCAGGGUUCUUUAAAUGUGGGUUUAGGUUGCCCCUUCACCCGUAUGUCCAUAAAUUCCUUAGAACCUUAGGGUUGGCUCCCGUGCAAAUCAACCCAAAUGUCUAUAUAGCCUGGUUAAGCAUGUAUGUGUUAUGGAAGCAACUAGGGCUUGGUGAGCCUUCCUUUGCUCAGUUCGCAAACUAAUAUUGUCUGAAGAAGCAUCCAGGUAGCAUAGGGUGGUGGUAUGUCUGUGCUUUCAUGAAUAUAGAAGGUGUCUUGAUAACAAAUAACUCUUCAAAGAAAGCUUGGAAAAACAAGUAUUUCUUUGCCUCAGGGAAUUAGAAGUUUAGAAAGGGAGAUGUGGGCUCUGGCGCUCGAGUUCAGACUUGCUUCUGUCGAGCAGAUAGGUGGGCCAGACCUUCCAUUUGAGGUCAGAAGUUGGAGCAGAUCGUGAGAGUCCGAGCUGAGAGAAGCCCCUUCCUUGGACAUAGGGGGGUCUAAUGGUGGGUGAGGUGAAGAUGGGCACCUCUGAGGUUGAUGCGCACGAUGAGACCGUGAUGGGAGGUAUUUAUGGGGAUGACGCUUCUCUGACCUGAUCGGGCUAGACUGGCCUUUUUGUGUACCCCACAUGGAGUGCUAGUAUGACGAUCAUCCAUGGAGUUCAGGAGUUAAUACUCCUUUUGUUAUGCCUUAAUUAUAUCUGUUUUGAGACAUUUGUGUUGUUUAUUUUGCCGCCACUCUGUGAUCAUGGUGGGUGUUCGAUGUAUUUUGUUGGACCUUGGUCUUCAUUGUAUUAUCUAUGUAUGCC